rnacentral:rRNA from 1 species
UACGUAGGGGGCUAGCGUUGUCCGGAAUCAUUGGGCGUAAAGAGCGCGUAGGCGGCCAGAUAAGUCCGGUGUGAAAGUCACAGGCUCAACCUGUGAAUGCCGCUGGAAACUGUCUGGCUAGAGUCCGGAAGGGGCGAGUGGAAUUCCUGGUGUAGCGGUGAAAUGCGUAGAGAUCCGGAGGAACACCAGUGGCGAAGGCGACACGCUGGGCCGUACCUGGACGCUAAAACGCGACAGCAUGGGGGAGCGAACAGG